CCUACGGGGGGCUGCAGUGGGGAAUAUUGCACAAUGGGCGCAAGCCUGAUGCAGCCAUGCCGCGUGUGUGGAGAAGGCCUUCGGGUUGUAAAGCACUUUCAGCGGGGAGGAAGGCGGUGAGGUUAAUAACCUCAUCGAUUGACGUUACCCGCAGAAGAAGCACCGGCUAACUCCGUGCCAGCAGCCGCGGUAAUACGGAGGGUGCAAGCGUUAAUCGGAAUUACUGGGCGUAAAGCGCACGCAGGCGGUCUGUCAAGUCGGAUGUGAAAUCCCCGGGCUCAACCUGGGAACUGCAUUCGAAACUGGCAGGCUAGAGUCAUGUAGAGGGGGGUAGAAUUCCAGGUGUAGCGGUGAAAUGCGUAGAGAUCUGGAGGAAUACCGGUGGCGAAGGCGGCCCCCUGGACAAAGACUGACGCUCAGGUGCGAAAGCGUGGGGAGCAAACAGGAUUAGAUACCCCUGUAGUC
rnacentral:rRNA from 1 species